CAAUAGCGUAUAUUAAAGUUGUUGCAGUUAGAACGCUCGUAGUCGGAUUUCGGGGCGGGCCGACCGGUCUGCCGAUGGGUACGCACUGGUCGGCGCGUCCUUCCUUCCGGAGACCGUGCCUACUCUUAACUGAGCGGGGGCGGGAGACGGAACGUUUACUUUGAAAAAAUCAGAGUGUUUCAAGCAGGCAGCUCGCUCUUGCAUGGAUUAGCAUGGGAUAAUGAAAUAGGACUUUGGUGCUAUUUUGUUGGUUUCGAACACCGAAGUAAUGAUUAAAAGGGACAGUCAGGGGCACUCGUAUUCCGCCGAGAGAGGUGAAAUUCUCAGACCAGCGGAAGACGAACCACUGCGAAAGCAUUUGCCAGGGAUGUUUNCACUGA
rnacentral:rRNA from 1 species